rnacentral:rRNA from 1 species
GACGAACCGUGCGAACGUUAUUCGGAAUCACUGGGCUUAAAGCGCGUGUAGGCGGGCCGCCCGUCGGCUGCUGAAAUCCCCCGGCUCAACCGGGGAACCGGCGCGGAGACGACCCGCCUGGAGGGGCGUAGGGGGACCUGGAACUUCCGGUGGAGCGGUGAAAUGCGUUGAGAUCGGAAGGAACGCCCGUGGCGAAAGCGAGGUCCUGGACGCCUACUGACGCUGAGACGCGAAAGCCAGGGGAGCGAACGGG